rnacentral:rRNA from 1 species
UACGUAGGGUGCAAGCGUUGUCCGGAAUUAUUGGGCGUAAAGAGCUCGUAGGCGGUUUGUCGCGUCUGCUGUGAAAACCGGAGGCUCAACCUCCGGCCUGCAGUGGGUACGGGCAGACUAGAGUGCGGUAGGGGAGAUUGGAAUUCCUGGUGUAGCGGUGGAAUGCGCAGAUAUCAGGAGGAACACCGAUGGCGAAGGCAGAUCUCUGGGCCGUAACUGACACUGAGGAGCGAAAGCGUGGGUAGCAAACAGG